GUGUCCCUUCUCUUCCUUCCACGAUAAAUUAAUCAACAUGGCUCUGUGUUCUAUAGGUAACAUGUAUAGUCGCAUUUGUCAUACAUUCUUAUGAUUAUUCAGAUUGAGUUAUUUUUGGAGAAAAACGACAAAAAAGGAAUCCGGAUAUUGAUUCCGUCAUUAGACUGACUUUUAGUCGUAGAUAAGACUUCCGGUUUGGCACACGCACAAGUACAACUAAUCGUAUGAUAGAUAAUAAAAAUGAAAAAUAAAUAAGCCAAUCAGAGCGUUCUCCAUAUCAUGGUGUUUAGAUCGCAAGAACCACAACUAUUACACCUCCUUAGAGGAUAGGAGAAUUAUUUUUCGCGUUUAUCUACAUGUUAACUACGAUUAUCAUUAUACUACUUUAAUAUAUAGAGACUCUGUAUUCUG
rnacentral:lncRNA from 1 species